rnacentral:rRNA from 1 species
GAUGAACGCUGGCGGCGUGCUUAACACAUGCAAGUCGAACGAUGAAGCUCAGCUUGCUGGGUGGUUUAGUGGCGAACGGGUGAGUAACACGUGAGUAACCUGCCCUUAACUCUGGGAUAAGCCUGGGAAACUAGGUCUAAUACCGGAUAGGAGCGCCUACCGCAUGGUGGGUGUUGGAAAGAUUUAUCGGUUUUGGAUGGACUCGCGGCCUAUCAGCUUGUUGGUGAGGUAAUGGCUCACCAAGGCGACGACGGGUAGCCGGCCUGAGAGGGUGACCGGCCACACUGGGACUGAGACACGGCCCAGACUCCUACGGGAGGCAGCAGUGGGGAAUAUUGCACAAUGGGCGCAAGCCUGAUGCAGCGACGCCGCGUGAGGGAUGACGGCCUUCGGGUUGUAAACCUCUUUCAGUAGGGAAGAAGCGAAAGUGACGGUACCUGCAGAAGAAGCACCGGCUAACUACGUG